UACGUAGGGCGCAAGCGUUGUCCGGAAUUAUUGGGCGUAAAGAGCUCGUAGGCGGCUUGUCACGUCGGGUGUGAAAGCCCGGGGCUUAACCCCGGGUCUGCAUUCGAUACGGGCUAGCUAGAGUGUGGUAGGGGAGUGUGGAAUUCCCGGUGUAGCGGUGAAAUGCGCAGAUAUCGGGAGGAACACCAGUAGCGAAGGCGACACUCUGGGCCGGUACUGACGCUGAGGAGCGAAAGCGUGGGGAGCAAACAGG
rnacentral:rRNA from 1 species